GAUGAACGCUGGCGGCGUGCCUAAUACAUGCAAGUAGAACGCUGAAGGAAGGAGCUUGCUCUUUCCGGAUGAGUUGCGAACGGGUGAGUAACGCGUAGGUAACCUGCCUGGUAGCGGGGGAUAACUAUUGGAAACGAUAGCUAAUACCGCAUAACAGUAGAUGUUGCAUGAUAUCUACUUAAAAGGUGCAAUUGCACCACUACCAGAUGGACCUGCGUUGUAUUAGCUAGUUGGUGAGGUAACGGCUCACCAAGGCGACGAUACAUAGCCGACCUGAGAGGGUGAUCGGCCACACUGGGACUUAGACACGGCCCAGACUCCUACGGGAGGCAGCAGUAGGGAAUCUUCGGCAAUGGACGGAAGUCUGACCGAGCAACGCCGCGUGAGUGAAGAAGGUUUUCGGAUCGUAAAGCUCUGUUGUAAGAGAAGAACGAGUGUGAGAGUGGAAAGUUCACACUGUGACGGUAUCUUACCAGAAAGGGACGGCUAACUACGUG
rnacentral:rRNA from 1 species